rnacentral:rRNA from 1 species
CAGCAGCCACGGUAAUACGUAGGUGGCAAGCGUUAUCCGGAAUUAUUGGGCGUAAAGCGCGCGUAGGCGGUUUUUUAAGUCUGAUGUGAAAGCCCACGGCUCAACCGUGGAGGGUCAUUGGAAACUGGAAAACUUGAGUGCAGAAGAGGAAAGUGGAAUUCCAUGUGUAGCGGUGAAAUGCGCAGAGAUAUGGAGGAACACCAGUGGCGAAGGCGACUUUCUGGUCUGUAACUGACGCUGAUGUGCGAAAGCGUGGGGAUCAAACAGGAUUAGAUACCCCCGUAGUCCCUGUCUCUUAUAC